rnacentral:lncRNA from 1 species
AUCCUCCUCCUUCAUGUGUCGUCCUUAUGCAAACCCAUAAUUAAUUAGUUUACGUUGUUGCGUCAAUCCAUUCUUCAUCCCUUCUUCAUCAUUCACCCAUACCGCAACAUGUAUAUUUACAAUCGCAUCGAUUCUUUCAUCAUUCAUCCUUCAUCUGGUCACGAACUCAUUCUUCAUCUUUCAUUCUUCAUCCAGUCACGAACCAAACAAUCACGAACUCAUGUCUUACCCCUUCAAAGCUUCAACGUUUUUAUCCUUCAAUCUUUAACCUUCAUCCUUUAGUGAAAACGCGAAUCAAAUUGAACGAAAGCAUUCAGCGGGAAGUGUCAAUUUCUUUCA